UACGUAGGGUGCGAGCGUUAAUCGGAAUUACUGGGCGUAAAGCGUGCGCAGGCGGUUCGUGAUGUCUGAUGUGAAAGCCCCGGGCUCAACCUGGGAAUUGCAUUGGAAACUAGCGGGCUGGAGUGUGGCAGAGGGGGGUGGAAUUCCACGUGUAGCAGUGAAAUGCGUAGAUAUCGUGAGGAAUACCGGUGGCGAAGGCGGCAUCCUGGACCGACAUUGACGCUGAGGCGCGAAAGCUAGGGGAGCAAACGGG
rnacentral:rRNA from 1 species